AAACGGCUGCAGUACUUCUGACGUGUGCAAAGGUAGCAAAAUCAAUUGUUCAUUAAUUGUGGACUGGAAUCAAUGGCUUGACGAUAAAAAAACUGUCUCUUUUCACUAAUCCCUUAAGUUAUCAAAAGAGUGAAGAGACUCUUUUGCUUUAGCGGGACGAGAAGACCCCGUUGAGCCUUUAGUCAGCUGAAUUAAUUAAGUUAAGCAAUGACUUGAGUUGGGGCAACUGUCUUUAUAUAGUAAAACAAAGAUAUAAUUUUAUGAUUUUAAUCUCGCAUGAGCCUUAAAGUUAAGAGCAAAAGAAUAAGUUACCACGGGGAUAACAGCGUAAUUUUUUUUGAGAGUUCUUAUUGACAAAAAAGUUGCGACCUCGAUGUUGGAUCAUAGCCUCCUAGGGGUGCAGCAGCUCCUGAGGGUUGGUUUGUUCAACCAUUAUAGCUAU
rnacentral:rRNA from 1 species